UACGAAGGGGGCUAGCGUUGCUCGGAAUCACUGGGCGUAAAGGGUGCGUAGGCGGGUCUUUAAGUCAGGGGUGAAAGCCUGUGGCUCAACCACAGAAUUGCCUUCGAUACUGUUUGGCUUGAGUAUGGUAGAGGUCAGUGGAACUGCGAGUGUAGAGGUGAAAUUCGUAGAUAUUCGCAAGAACACCAGUGGCGAAGGCGAGUUUCUGGACGGGUACUGACGCUGAGGCACGAAGGCCAGGGGAGCAAACGGG
rnacentral:rRNA from 1 species